GAUGAACGCUGGCGGCGUGCUUAACACAUGCAAGUCGAGCGAAGCACUUAACUUUGAUUCUUUCGGGAUGAAGAGUUCUGUGACUGAGCGGCGGACGGGUGAGUAACGCGUGGGUAACCUGCCUCAUACAGGGGGAUAACAGUUAGAAAUGGCUGCUAAUACCGCAUAAGACCACAGCACCGCAUGGUGCAGGGGUAAAAACUCCGGUGGUAUGAGAUGGACCCGCGUCUGAUUAGCUAGUUGGUGGGUAACGGCUACCAAGCGACGAUCAGUAGCGACCUGANAGGGUGACCGGCCACAUUGGGACUGAGACACGGCCAAACUCCUACGGAGGCAGCAGUGGGGAUAUUGCACAAUGGGGGAAACCCUGAUGCAGCGACGCGCGUGAGCGAAGAAGUA
rnacentral:rRNA from 1 species